ACGUACGCAACCUUCCUUUAACUGGAGAAUAGCCCCUCGAAAGAGGGAUUAAUACUCCGUAACAUAUACAUGUGGCAUCACAAGUAUAUUAUAGCUCCGGCGGUUAGAGAUGGGCGUGCGCCUGAUUAGAUAGUUGGCGGGGUAACGGCCCACCAAGUCUGCGAUCAGUAACUGGUGUGAGAGCACGACCAGCCACACGGGCACUGAGACACGGGCCCG
rnacentral:rRNA from 1 species